CUCAUCGCAUCCUGGGGCUGGAGAAGGUCCCAAGGGUCCGGCUGUUCGCCGGUUAAAGCGGUACGCGAGCUGGGUUCAGAACGUCGUGAGACAGUUCGGUCCUUAUCCACUGUGGGCGUAGGAAACUUGAGGGAUUCGUUCCUUAGUACGAGAGGACCGGGAACGACGCACCUCUGGUGUGGCAGUUGUUCCGUCAGGAGCAGCGCUGCGUAGCCAUGUGCGGAAGAGAUAAGCGCUGAAAGCAUCUAAGCGCCAAGCUCCUCCCAAGAUCAGGUUUCCCGGGUCGCAAGACCCAUAAAGACCCCCGGUAGACUACCGGGUUGAUAGGUCAGACGUGUAAGCGCGGUAACGCGUUUAGCGGACUGAUACUAAUAGGUCGUUCGGCUUGAUCUUUUAA
rnacentral:rRNA from 1 species